AGCUAUUAAGUCCUGCGUAGACUGUGAGUGCGGAGACACAGCAGAGAGUAAGGAGCCCCCACGGCUCUUCAACCAACACAGGCCACUAAUUGUAUGCUCUAAGUGGCAUAUUAGGAAUCUUAGGAAGUGUCUCUGCUACACAGACAAGAAAGGGUGAUUGGAAAGAUAAGAUGCAAGAUGAGAAAGCGCUGCUACCCCGCGAAGUCAAGUAUCAAGAACAUUGUGAUUGAUUGUGUGCAAGGCCACUGUUAAAUUGAGCAGAAUCAAGACUGACAGAAAACUCUGGGGUUGGCAAUCAGUAAGUCACAUUUUGUUACAUGCACAAGGAUCAGAACAUAUUUUGUGAAACAUACACCAAAUGAAAAAAAUUUGAGAGGCACUGUGAGGAGAAAAGAAAAAAAUUUUAAAGUAUUUUGGAGUUAAGCUUACUAUAGUUUUAAGAAGCUAUAUUUUCCUACCUAACCCAAAUCAAGAAGCAUUUAAGGCCACAAAUGACGGACAACCAUCUAAAGGGUCAACUGAAAACUGCAGAUCUCCAUGCUGCUUUCUAACAAAAGCAGACACAACGAAGUCAUUGAAAGGAUGGUCUCUUUCCGGCUGAUUUGACUCCAUCUCCUCUCUCAUUGCU